GCAUUUCCAGCAUUAAAAUUUAAAGCGAGUUGCAGCAUCCUCCUACGCCGUAGGUAGGGCCGGGGGGGCCGGGGGCUGCGGGAGGAGGAGUUUGCGUGGCCGCCUCUUCCUCAGGGAUGCUCUGGGAAAGCUCCAGCACAAAGGAGCGGCGCGGAGGGCAGAAGCGAGCGGAGCCGGCGCCCCCCAGCCCCAACCCGGCCCCCGGGAGCAGAAUCCUCACCAAGAAUAGGGCUCCUGCCAGGUAAAUGGAUUCUUGCCUGAUUUUCAAUGCCCCUGGGAAGAAUUGUAGCCAAAAUGCUGGUUUACUGCUUUGUCUCCUAAUCCCCGUUUUCUCCUAAAGCUGGGGAUCCUGGGUGGGGAUUAGAGGCGAGGCUGGGGCCAACACUCCUGGGGCACAGCACAGCCCCUCCUUCAGAGUUAACCUGCCAGAUGCUCCUCUUGCGGAGCCAUUUUCUCUCCCUCAUUGUCUUGCAGCCUUUUGUGUGUGUGAGUAGGUCCUGCCCAGGGCCCCAGGAGGAGCCCAGAAAUAAUCAGGUUUUCUGGCGUUCUGGGUUUUCAGGGAGCCUUUCACACCCUCACCCUCCCUUCUCCCAGGCUGCCCAGCCUCAGAGCUGCAGACAAAGGUGGUAGUGCCUGGCACUGCUGCAGCAGCACGGGAGCCUGGGAUGUGCCAGAGCCUGGGCUCUGCUGGAUGGCAGCAAGGGUCAGGCAGCGCUGGCAGGGCCCAGGGCAAAGAUAUCUGGCCACCCUGCUGGGAGCUGGGGGACUGGGGUGCCCAGAUGCCACAUCCCAGAGAUCAUCCCUCUGGGCACAGGCAGCUCAUGGCAAAUGCCGUGCCUGCUGUGGCCUUAUCUCCCUGCUCCUGCCUGCUGUGGAGCCUGUGCUCCUGUCCCUCCCUCUUCACUCCAAGGGGGAGUCUAGCCCCUGUCUAACCCAGGUGCUCAGCAGCACCGUAUGUGCCACCCACCCUGUGUGGCAGAGGAAGCUCUGGCUCAUGGCUGGCAAUCACUGCUCACUGUGCCCCAGACAGAGUGUUUAGCUGAGCCCUGCCUGCACAGAAUUGUUUUCCCUCCCUGUCUCCUGGGAUGUGUUUCAUUCCCGGGUGAGAAAGGCCAUCCCACAGCCAUCAUGUCCCGCCUGCCUCACCACAGGCACCUCCCGCUCUGAUCCCACCUCCCACUCAGAUCCAGGCAGGGGAUCCAUUUGCCAGAUGCUCGAUGGCAUCUCCGGAGCUCAUUCCCGCAGCUGGGUUGCAAAUGCUGCCUGGACAUGCUGUCCCCAUGGGAGGGACUGUCCUGCCAGCAGUGCCUGCGGCAUGUGGUGACAAUGAACAGCGGGAAGCAGGAGCAGCUCCACAGCUGAACAUGCAGAGUCAUCACGGCCCAGCUCCCCCAGGACCUGCUGCAGUCCUGGCUUUUCCAGGCGGGCAGGGCAGGAACAGGAGCAGGGCAGAGCAGGAGCAGGGCAGCAGCAGGAGAAAGGCAGGAGCAGGAGCAGAGCAGGAGCGGGAACCCGAGCAGGUCAGAAACAGGAGCAGGGCAGAAGCAGGAACAGGGCAGGCAGUGUGGCUGGCUGCAGACAUGGGCUGGCUGCUGGCACCAGCCACGUGUCCCUGUAUCCCUGUGGAGGUGGAGUAGCACCCACCACAGCGCAGUUGUGACCGCCGGCUGCCCCAGUACAACUGAUGCCUGCAGAACCACAGGGUCCCAGUGACCCGGCUUAACCACAGGGCAGGAGCAGAGCUGGCAGAGGCAGCAGUGGCAGUGGCAGUGAAAGUCAGUCCCUGCCCCCAGUGCAGGGGUUCCCACACCAGGUAGGGACAGUUUGGGGCAUUGCCACCAUUUCUGAUGCGGUGGUUCCUGGUGCCCCCCUGUGCCUGGUGGUGGGUCUAGCUCCUCGCUCUGCAAGGAGAAAGGGACAGGAGGAUCCCUGCCCAGCCCUCCUGCCAGGCUCCUGCCAGCUUGGCUCGGCUCUGCCUGAGGAUGGUGCUGUGUGUCUCUCCCUUGCUGCGUUGGUUGUUUCUUUUGCAGCUGCUAAUGACUGACCUGAAGUCUGUUCACACAGUCCCCUCGCGGCCUCCACAGCGCAGAGCCACACAGGAUGGGGGGACAUUGCACGGCACUUGCAUAGCUGGUGACCACAGUGCCACCACCUCAGAGGCACGGCCUCAGCUCCUGCCUGGCCAGACCGGCUGUGCCUGGAGAGGAGCCAGGCUCGGGGAGCCGACAUCGCCACCUGCACACAAUACCAGAGCCGGGCUGGCCCCAGCAGAGCAGCCUGGUGCUCAGUGCCAUGGGCCACAGCCACGAGCCCGGCCACUGCGGGGGACACAGCCGAGGACAUGGCGCUGGGGACACCUGAGGACACGGGUCUGCACGUGCUCGCGGUUUUCCUGCAAGGUGCUGGGGUCCCCUUCCCUUCCGCUGCUCCACCCCAGCCAUGGGCAGGAUGAGACCCAUCCCCUUCCCUGAACGCAGUGUAGGGAGAGGGAGAAGAGGAAGGCUACAGGGAUGGAGCUGUGCCAGCUCCUCAAUGAGACACAAUGGUCAGAGCACAAAGGGACUCUGGUUGUCCCCACUGAUCCUGCCUGUCCCUCUGUCUGUUGGUGAAGUCCUGGUGCUUUCUGCCCUGGAACUGCCUUGCAGUGCUAGUGCUGUGUUCCAGCAGGACCCUGUCUCCCCUGCCCUGUGGAGCAGCCUGGAGUGUGUGGAGGGACAUGGGCAGCGAAUCCUCCUCCCAUGAUCUCUGUGGGGGUGGCAGUGGCCCAGUAAGUGGUUGGGCUGUGGCUGCACUGAGCAGUCACUCCAGCCCCUGUCUCUGCACAGGAGGGAGAGCUGGGAAUGAGGUAGGCUGGGGGCUGAGGGCAGACACAGCUUAUGGCAGGUGUUAGAGCCUUGAAGUCCAAGCUGGAAAAGCAUCCUCUUGGGGACCAGCAGGAGUUAGUGCUGCAGGAGGAGGUAACCCAGAGGGACAUGGGGCAGAGGGUGCCCUGGGUGCCCCACCACAGCCCUGUUUCUCAGGGCACAGUGCUCUUACUGCCCCUCAGAGCACUGCUUAGCUCCAUGGAGAGGCAGCUUCUGACAGGGAAGGGGUAAGCUAUGGACCACUUUUCCUCUGCUCCAUGGCAUGGUUUUCCCUGCUGAAUCUCUUCCUCCCUUCACAGGCAAUGGGAGCUCGGUGGAGACCCAGAGCAGCUCUCUGCAGAAGCCCUGCUCUUGCAGAGCUGCCCAUAGCCUUGCUCCAGGCAUGGUCAGUGAUGCUUUCACCCCUUCCCUCUCUGCUUCUUCCAGCUCCUUUAGUGCCCUGACCUGAGUCACUGCCUUGCACUGCUGGGACUGUCUCCUCCAUGCAUCCAGUCUCCCACCCUCACCAGUACCAGGAGUGGGAAGCACACUCUGUGUGGGGACACACUGCUUGGGGCAUUUGGUACCUCACUGGCCUGGAUGAGAGGGGCAGAUCCUUGCAAAGCAUUUAACUCAGAACAGGUUACAUCAUGCAGGUUAAACCCUCCAAUAACACCUUCCCAAAUCUCGAUGUGGUAGCAACGCCCCAAAACGCCUCCUGCUCUUGUGAGCCAGAGCCCUGCUGCUCACUGGGCCCAGCUCUGCAUGCUGCCGCUGCGCUCCGACAUUAACCUACUAACCCGCUGGGACCCUGUGCCCUCACCGGGGGCUGGCACAGCCCCUGGCACACGGACUAACCCACUAACUGGCCCCAGUGCAUGCCCUACUAACUCACAGCCAGCCCUGCCUCACACCCACUAACUGUGGCAGCAGUGCUGCCUUUAAAGGGGAACAGAAAAGCUGGGAAAGGAGGUUUGGAAGUGCCAGGUGUCAGUGCCAGGCUGUACAGGCAGGGACGGGCAAGGGCAGCCCCAGCUGUGGGCAGGAGAGGGGAUUGGCAGCCCCUGCCCAGCACUGGGCCGUGUCCAUCAAACUUUGCCUAUACAGGCAGCCCCAGCUCCAGCUGUGAGCAGGAGGGAGGACUGGCAGCCCCUGCCCAUGCAAGCAGCUCCUGUUCUGGGCAGGAGAGGGGACCAGCAGUCCCUGCCCCAGGCAGGAGAGGGAACCAGCAGCCCCUGCCCUGGGCAGCCCUUGCCAGCACGAGGAGAGGGUUUCUCCUCGCACGCCCUGCCCGGCUCUGCCCGUGAGCCUGUUGCUGACUAGGAGCCUAAAACGGUUUUAUCAGCAGAAGCUUUUCAGUUCCUUUUUAAGCCAGUAGAUCUCUGUUACUAACACAUUCCUGAACUGAAUUAAACAAACUAACCAUU